UCUGGUUGAUCCUGCCAGAUCCGACUGCUAUCCGGAUGGGACUAAGCCAUGCGAGUUGAAUGGGAAGUCUUACUUUCCAUAGCGCACUGCUCAGUAACAAGUUAUCAACUUACCCUUUAGAGGGGCAUAACCUCGGGAAACUGAGGAUAAUACCCCAUAGUUGGAUGAGCCUGGAAUGGUUCUCCAUCGAAAUGUCGUAUCGAAAUAGAGAUACGUUCGCUGAAGGAUAGGAUUGCUCCCGAUUAUGGUAGUUGGUGAGGUAAUGGCUCACCAAGCCUAUGAUCGGUAAGGGCCGUGAGAGCGGGAGCCCUGAGAUGGGUACUGAGACAAGGACCCAGGCCUUACGAGGCGCAGCAGGCGCGAAACCUUUACAAUGCGCGAAAGCGUGAUAAGGUUAUCCGGAGUGCUGAAAGCACAACUUUUAGCUGUUAUCGGGCAUAGAUAACCCGAUGAGAAAGGAGAGGGCAAGGCUGGUGCCAGCCGCCGCGGUAAAACCAGCUCUUCAAGUGGUCGGGACGAUUAUUGGGCUUAAAGUGUCCGUAGCCGGUUAGGUAAGUUCUUGGUUAAAUCUGACAGCUUAACUGUCAGCGUGCUAAGAAGACUGCCUUACUAGGGGGCGGGAAAGGUCUGAGGUACUCCAGGGGUAGCGGUGAAAUGUGAUAAUCCUUGGGGGACCACCAGUGGCGAAGGCGUCAGACUGGAACGCGCCCGACGGUGAGGGACGAAAGCUAGGGGAGCGAACGGGAUCAGAUACCCCGGUAGUCCUAGCUGUAAACGAUGCGUGCUAGGUGUUGGUAGGGCUAUGAGCUGUAUCAGUGCCGUAGGGAAACUGUUAAGCACGCCGCCUGGGAAGUACGCUCGCAAGAGUGAAACUUAAAGGAAUUGGCGGGGGAGCACCACAAGGGGUGAAGCCUGCGGUUCAAUUGGACCCAACGCCGGGAAACUUACCGGGGGCGACAGCAGAAUGAAGGUCAGGCUGACGACCUUACCAGACAAGCUGAGCGGAGGUGCAUGGCCGUCGCCAGUUCGUGCCGUGAGGUAUCCUGUUAAGUCAGGCAACGAACGAGACCCACAUGUCUAGUUGCCAGCAAGAGGCUUCGGCUUCGUUGGGAACGCUAGACAGACUGCCAUCGUACAGAUGGAGGAAGGGGUGGGCCACGGCAGGUCAGUAUGCCCCUAAUCCCCCGGGCCACACGCGGGCUGCAAUGGUAUGGACAAUGGGUUGCAACUCUGAAAAGAGGAGCCAAUCUCGAAACCAUAUCUCAGUUGGGAUUGUUGGCUGUAACCCGCCGACAUGAACGUGGAAUCCCUAGUAAUCGUGUGUCAUCAUCGCACGGUGAAUACGUCUCUGCUCCUUGCACACACCGCCCGUCGCUCCAUCCGAGUGCCCUACAAUUGAAACGUGGUCCAUUGGGUCACUUUGAAAUUGUAUAACGCGAGGAGGGAGAAGUCGUAACAAGGUA
rnacentral:rRNA from 1 species